UAGGGAAUCUUCCACAAUGGACGCAAGUCUGAUGGAGCAACGCCGCGUGAGUGAAGAAGGGUUUCGGCUCGUAAAGCUCUGUUGUUAAAGAAGAACGUGGGUAAGAGUAACUGUUUACCCAGUGACGGUAUUUAACCAGAAAGCCACGGCUAACUACGUGCCAGCAGCCGCGGUAAUACGUAGGUGGCAAGCGUUAUCCGGAUUUAUUGGGCGUAAAGCGAGCGCAGGCGGUCUUUUAAGUCUAAUGUGAAAGCCUUCGGCUCAACCGAAGAAGUGCAUUGGAAACUGGGAGACUUGAGUGCAGAAGAGGACAGUGGAACUCCAUGUGUAGCGGUGAAAUGCGUAGAUAUAUGGAAGAACACCAGUGGCGAAGGCGGCUGUCUGGUCUGCAACUGACGCU
rnacentral:rRNA from 1 species